rnacentral:misc_RNA from 1 species
AAAAAUCUAUCCUCUUUGCCGCAUUCCUUUCUUCGCUUCACUCAUUACCAUCUUCUCCACACUCUGCAACCACUCUUCAAUCCUAGACUGUUUUUUCCAUUCUAAAAUUAAUCAUUUCAUUUUAUUUUCUUGAAUUUAUAGACUCCCAUUUGAAUUCUUACCAGUUCUGGCUAUAAAGGAUUGUUAUUUAUCCUCCAAAGCGUAUAAAAUAAACCCAUGAAGCAGCUGCAAGAUUUAAGGAGAGAAGGGAAUUUUCUUGGAAUGGAUAAAGGGUGUGGGUCUUGUGUGACUGUGGGUAUCAUGGGGUUUCGUGAGAUGGGUAGGUGUUGCUUCAGUGGGGUAUUGAUUGCUCUGUUGUGUUUUGGGUGGUUGGCGAGUUAUGUGGUGGAAGGGUACCCUGCUAAGGAUCUGGUGGUGGACUUGCCUGGCCAACCCAAGGUUGGGUUCAAGCAGUUUGCUGGGUAUAUUGAUGUGGAUGUCAAGAAUGGUAGGAGCUUGUUUUAUUACUUUGUUGAGGCUGAGAAGAACCCUGAAAAGAAGCCCCUUGCUCUCUGGCUCAACGGAGGUCCUGGUUGUUCCUCCAUUGGUGGAGGUGCCUUCACUGAAUUGGGUCCGUUUUUUCCUACAGGGGAUGGCCGGGGCCUUCGAAGAAAUUCAAUGUCUUGGAACAGAGCAUCAAACAUCCUCUUCGUUGAGUCUCCUGCUGGAGUAGGGUGGUCAUACUCGGAUACAGCUUCUGAUUACACUACAGGAGACGCCAAAACUGCCAAUGAUAUGUAUAUUUUCUUAUUGAAGUGGUAUCAGAAGUUCCCGGAAUUCAAAUCACGGGAACUGUUUCUUACAGGAGAAAGCUAUGCAGGGCAUUACAUUCCACAGUUGGCUGACGCUCUUCUGGAUCAUAAUGCACGUUCAACUGGUUUCAAGUUCAAUAUCAAAGGAGUUGCUAUCGGGAAUCCACUCCUUAGACUUGAUCGGGAUGUUCCAGCAACAUAUGAAUUCUUUUGGUCUCAUGGGAUGAUUUCUGAUGAGAUUGGCCUCAAGGUCAUGAAUGAAUGUCAGUUUGAUGACUACACCUUUUCAAACCCACACAACGUAACAGUUUCAUGUAAUGAAGCGAUAGCUGAAGCAAAUAGCAUAGUUGGUGACUAUAUUAACAAUUACGAUGUGAUCCUAGAUGUUUGUUAUCCAUCUUUAGCAGAGCAAGAACUGCGACUGAGGAAAAUGGCUACCAAGAUAAGUGUCGGGGUUGAUGUUUGUAUGACACUUGAAAGAAGUUUCUACUUCAACCUUCCUGAGGUUCAGAAGGCUCUUCAUGCUAAUAGAACUAAUCUACCAUAUAGAUGGUCCAUGUGCAGUGGGUAAGGGAGACUUAAAUUGGGGUUCCAAACAAAUUCAAGAAGAAAAAGGAUUUCUUAAAACAAAAAAUUGCAACAUUUCUUACUCUGUUAGCAUAAUUAUUAACCCCUACUAUUCCAGUUUCGAACUUGUACAGCAUCUCACAUAGUAAUUCCUGAAUAAAGUUUGUCUGUAAAAGUUCUCGUUAUGCCCUAGUUCUUGUAUGAGUCCUUGUUUAAGUUUUGCCAGUCAAAUCAUAAAUUGUUUAACUGAUGUCUGCAUAUUGAUUCAUAAUAUAACUAAUUUUUGUGUCCUUGUUUGUUGGACAGUGUUGUAGAGUACAGUGAUACCGACGGCAAUAUGGACAUGCUUCCCAUUCUCAAAAAGAUAAUUAAAAAUCGUAUUCCAGUUUGGGUGUUCAGGUAAGUACCAUAUUGUACAGGAUGAUAUAUAAAUUUUCUUUGUUCUUCCAUAGGUUGUCAAGCAACAUGAUUUUGCUUAUGAUCCCUUUAUUGAAUUAAUCAAUCAAUGUAGUGGUGAUCAAGAUUCUGUUGUACCACUUCUGGGCUCCAGAACACUCGUCCGCGAGCUAGCUCAUGAUCUAAACUUCAAGAUUACAGUCCCUUAUGGAGCUUGGUUUCACAAAGGCCAGGUUGCAGGUUGGGCAACAGAGUAUGGUAAUUUUUUGACUUUUGCCACAGUAAGGGGUGCUGCCCAUAUGGUGCCAUAUUCACAGCCAUCAAGAGCUCUGCAUCUAUUCAGUUCAUUUGUUCGUGGCCGGAGAUUGCCUAGUACACCACACACUUCGAUAGACGAUUGAGAAUUGUUUCAUCAUUGUUUCAUGUUAGCAGCAAUAAUAAUCUCAAAGAGAAAAGGCAUUUCAAUUGUAGUUAAGGAUUUCAGUGUCUUGAUUUAAUUUCUAGAACUUGUUUCUAAUUAGAAUGAAUAGUUCAUAUUCAUAAUGGAUUUGAUAGAGUUUUAGCUGCAGUUCUAGUCUCUUGCUCUAUUAAUGUCUGUUUUCAACUCUUAAUUGGUUAUUUUUAAGAAUCUUGGGAGGAUGGUACGAUUUAUUAAUGGAACGAAG